rnacentral:rRNA from 1 species
GUAAGGAAUAUUGGUCAAUGGGCGCAAGCCUGAACCAGCCAUGCCGCGUGCAGGAAGACGGCCCUCCGGGUUGUAAACUGCUUUUGUACGGGAAUAAACCUCUCUACGUGUAGGGAGCUGAAUGUACCGUAAGAAUAAGGAUCGGCUAACUCCGUGCCAGCAGCCGCGGUAAUACGGAGGAUCCAAGCGUUAUCCGGAUUUAUUGGGUUUAAAGGGUGCGUAGGCGGCCUGUUAAGUCAGGGGUGAAAGACGGUGGCUCAACCAUCGCAGUGCCCUUGAUACUGAUGGGCUUGAAUAGACUAGAGGUAGGCGGAAUGUGACAAGUAGCGGUGAAAUGCAUAGAUAUGUCACAGAACACCGAUUGCGAAGGCAGCUUACUAUGGUCUGAUUGACGCUGAGGCACGAAAGCGUGGGGAUCGAACAGGAUUAGAAACCCUGGUAGUCC